CAACCCUUCUCCGGGUGGUCAACAAAAAUCCCAGCCCUUUACCAGGCGGUCGCGUUCCCUAUCCGCUAGGCAGUCAAGCAAUAACAAUAAAUGCGUUCCCUGCCGCUAGGCAGUCAAGCAAUAACAAUAAAUGCGUUCCCUGCCCGCUAGGCAGUCAAGCAAUAACAAUAAAUUCGAACCAUACACCAGCUGUCUCACACACACACAUACACA